rnacentral:misc_RNA from 1 species
GUUUUUGGAUUUUAAUAUAUAGAGUACAGCAACGACCAUAAGUCCUAAAAUCAUACUAGAAAAAACCUCCUAUUUCAGGGUUCCUAGAAUAGUUAAAAGUACUCUUGCGUACCUAUGCAAGAGAAGUAAAUUUUCCGGGUCAGUUCAGAUUGGUUAGGUUGGCCUUAUUAGCAAAGGUGGCGCAUUCUUGUAAAUCGGCCAAGGAAUAUGAACGCCAAGUGGAGAAAGUUCUUUGAGG